rnacentral:sRNA from 1 species
CUUCUAAAAUUGGCUUACACCUGCCUCAUCUGCUUUGCUUAAUGAGCAUGCCAUGCUUUGAUUAACCUACCUUGGAGUUGACCCAUCGUUGACUAUCACGUUGGAAGCUGGGAUCUGGACUCUGCAACCCAACGCGUGCCUUGAUUAUGUUUUAGCAUAAUCUCUGACAUCUCCACAGGCUUCACCUUGAGGGUCCCCUUGCCCCAUAAGAUUGGCACCCUCACCUGCCCUGCACCUAUGCCCCAGUAUGCUGGUACCACAGUGUUCUCUGCUCAAAGGUGGCCACAAGUCUCGACUAGCCAGCCCAUUGGUUAAUUUUUGCUCUUCACAGUUCUGGACUCUUUGGCAGUGUCUCAGCUGUAGAGUUAAAUUGCCACAUCCUAAGCAUGCCUAACCAGCUUGAAAGGUUAUAGUGUGUCUUCAACACACAUCAUCCACAUACACCCUCCAGCAGCAAGCACAGGCAGUCUCCUUAAUUAUACUCUAGGGCAGAUUGAGUGUAUUUUAGCACAAAGAGCUAAAGGUGUCUCUUGGGGUCAUUUCUGCAACCAUGAAUUGGGGAUCCUGUGAUUUUUUCAGGCCUGUGAUUAUGGUUGCUGGCCUUUAUGUUACUCAUCAGUGGAAACCAAUAGCUCUUGGGGAUGGAUGUGAUCCUAUUUCGGACUCAGCCAAGGGUGGAUUAAAUUUGAGGCCAGGCAGCUCCUUAAACCUCUCAUAUCUGUCCUCAGGCCUGGUGGAGCCAGUGAACGUGGUGGACAAUGGAGAUGGCACACACACAGUAACCUAUACCCCAUCUCAGGAGGGACCUUACAUGGUCUCAGUUAAAUAUGCUGAUGAAGAGAUUCCUCGCAGUCCCUUCAAGGUCAAGGUCCUUCCCACAUAUGACGCCAGCAAAGUGACCGCCAGUGGCCCCGGCCUUAGUUCCUAUGGUGUGCCUGCCAGUCUACCUGUGGACUUUGCAAUUGAUGCCCGAGAUGCCGGGGAAGGCCUGCUUGCUGUUCAAAUAACGGACCAAGAAGGAAAACCCAAAAGAGCCAUUGUCCAUGACAAUAAAGAUGGCACGUAUGCUGUCACCUACAUCCCCGACAAGACUGGACGCUAUAUGAUUGGGGUCACCUAUGGGGGUGACAACAUUCCACUUUCUCCUUAUCGCAUCCGAGCCACACAGACGGGUGAUGCCAGCAAGUGCCUGGCCACGGGUCCUGGAAUCGCCUCCACUGUGAAAACUAGCGAAGAAGUAGGCUUUGUGGUUGAUGCCAAGACUGCCGGGAAGGGGAAAGUGACCUGCACGGUUCUGACCCCAGAUGGCACUGAGGCCGAGGCCGAUGUCAUUGAGAAUGAAGAUGGAACCUAUGACAUCUUCUACACAGCUGCCAAACCGGGCACAUAUGUGAUCUAUGUGCGCUUUGGUGGUGUUGAUAUUCCUAACAGCCCCUUCACUGUCAUGGUGACCGAAGAGGCCUAUGUCCCAGUGAGUGAUAUGAACGGCCUGGGAUUUAAGCCUUUUGACCUGGUCAUUCCGUUUGCUGUCAGGAAAGGAGAAAUCACCGGAGAGGUCCACAUGCCUUCUGGGAAGACAGCCACACCUGAGAUUGUGGACAACAAGGACGGCACGGUCACUGUUAGAUACGCCCCCACUGAGGUCGGGCUCCAUGAGAUGCACAUCAAAUACAUGGGCAGCCACAUCCCUGAGAGCCCACUCCAGUUCUACGUGAAUUACCCCAACAGUGGAAGCGUUUCUGCAUACGGUCCAGGCCUCGUGUAUGGAGUGGCCAACAAAACUGCCACCUUCACCAUCGUCACGGAGGAUGCAGGAGAAGGUGGUCUGGACUUGGCUAUUGAGGGCCCCUCAAAAGCAGAAAUCAGCUGCAUCGACAACAAAGAUGGGACAUGCACAGUGACCUACCUGCCCACUCUGCCAGGCGACUACAGCAUUCUGGUCAAGUACAAUGACAAGCACAUCCCUGGCAGCCCCUUCACAGCCAAGAUCACAGAUGACAGCAGGCGGUGCUCCCAGGUGAAGUUGGGCUCGGCCGCUGACUUCCUGCUCGACAUCAGUGAGACUGACCUCAGCAGCCUGACGGCCAGCAUUAAGGCCCCAUCUGGCCGAGAUGAGCCCUGUCUCCUGAAGAGGCUGCCCAACAACCACAUUGGCAUCUCCUUCAUCCCCCGGGAAGUGGGUGAACACCUGGUCAGCAUCAAGAAAAAUGGCAACCAUGUGGCCAACAGCCCCGUGUCCAUCAUGGUGGUCCAGUCCGAGAUUGGUGAUGCCCGCCGAGCCAAAGUCUAUGGCCGUGGCCUGUCAGAAGGCCGGACUUUCGAGAUGUCUGACUUCAUCGUGGACACAAGGGAUGCAGGUUAUGGUGGCAUAUCCUUGGCGGUGGAAGGCCCCAGCAAAGUGGACAUCCAGACUGAAGACCUGGAAGAUGGCACCUGCAAAGUCUCCUACUUCCCCACCGUGCCUGGGGUUUAUAUUGUCUCCACCAAAUUCGCUGACGAGCACGUGCCUGGGAGCCCAUUUACCGUGAAGAUCAGCGGGGAGGGAAGAGUCAAAGAGAGCAUCACCCGCACCAGUCGGGCCCCGUCUGUGGCCACUGUCGGGAGCAUCUGUGACCUGAACCUGAAAAUCCCAGAAAUCAACAGCAGUGAUAUGUCGGCCCACGUCACCAGCCCCUCUGGCCGUGUGACUGAGGCAGAGAUUGUGCCCAUGGGGAAGAACUCGCACUGCGUCCGGUUUGUGCCCCAGGAGAUGGGCGUGCACACGGUCAGCGUCAAGUACCGUGGGCAGCACGUCACCGGCAGCCCCUUCCAGUUCACCGUGGGGCCACUUGGUGAAGGAGGCGCCCACAAGGUGCGGGCAGGAGGCCCUGGCCUGGAGAGAGGAGAAGCGGGAGUCCCAGCUGAGUUCAGCAUUUGGACCCGGGAAGCAGGCGCUGGAGGCCUCUCCAUCGCUGUUGAGGGCCCCAGUAAGGCCGAGAUUACAUUUGAUGACCAUAAAAAUGGGUCAUGCGGUGUGUCUUAUAUUGCCCAAGAGCCUGGUAACUACGAGGUGUCCAUCAAAUUCAAUGAUGAGCACAUCCCGGAAAGCCCCUACCUGGUGCCGGUCAUCGCGCCCUCCGACGACGCCCGCCGCCUCACUGUUAUGAGCCUUCAGGAAUCGGGAUUAAAAGUUAACCAGCCAGCAUCCUUUGCUAUAAGGUUGAAUGGCGCAAAAGGCAAGAUUGAUGCAAAGGUGCACAGCCCCUCUGGAGCCGUGGAGGAGUGCCACGUGUCUGAGCUGGAGCCAGAUAAGUAUGCUGUUCGCUUCAUUCCUCAUGAGAAUGGUGUCCACACCAUCGAUGUCAAGUUCAAUGGGAGCCACGUGGUUGGAAGCCCCUUCAAAGUGCGCGUUGGGGAGCCUGGACAAGCGGGCAACCCUGCCCUGGUGUCCGCCUAUGGCACGGGACUCGAAGGGGGCAUCACAGGUAUCCAGUCGGAAUUCUUUAUUAACACCACCCGAGCAGGUCCAGGGACAUUAUCCGUCACCAUCGAAGGCCCGUCCAAGGUUAAAAUGGAUUGUCAGGAAACACCUGAAGGAUACAAAGUCAUGUACACCCCCAUGGCUCCUGGUAACUACCUGAUCAGUGUCAAAUACGGUGGGCCCAACCACAUCGCGGGCAGUCCCUUCAAGGCCAAGGUGACAGGUAACGAUCAACCAUCUUCGGAGUUAACUCUCCCUUCCUGGGGAGCUGGUUUGUCAGAUCAAUCAUAGUGGAAACUAUGGAUGGUUUUAGAUGUGUUUAAGCUACUUUGAACUUUGAAUGUCAGUAAAUAGUAUGAGGUGUCAGAGGGCCGUGUUUGAAACUUACAAAAGUCCACAGAGUGGAGCCGUGCAGAAGUUGAGAAGACAUGUUAGGAUGUUAGGUAGUUUUCUGUCUCUAACAGGAAAGAAUACAUGUUGAAAUCUUAUGUAUUUGUUUAGAUCAGGGCCUGAAAAUCCCCUCAUUUCUAAUUUUCACUUGAAAAAUAAUCAAAAGGUUUUCCUAUACUUAUAAAAAUGUGUCUCCUCCAAAACACUGGAAAAAAUACCAAACUAUGAAAACCACUUCACAGCCACCACCCAAGGUAACCACCAUAAACACUGUAGUAAAUCCCUUCCACACGUCAUGAUUCACUGUUACAUAAAGAAUGUAGGUUCAUCGCAGGAAAAUUAGAAAAUUCAGAUAGAAAAAUCAUCCUUUCUCAUCCACAGAAUCAUUUUUUGAUAUUUCAUUAUAUGUCAUCCCAAACUUUUACACUGCUUGUACAUAGACUAUUUUAUGUAAAUAGAAAGAUGUGAAUUCCACAGGCACAUCUUUGGUGGGUGGGGGGUGGGGGGAUUGGGAGGGUUCUCGGCCUUGUCAGCCAAGGCCAGACUCAUCCAUUUGCCCAGAAAGCCAGAUCCUAGUUGUAUGGGGGUGGGAUCCCAGGGGUUUAGAAGACAUUAUGGGUGUGAGAUACGGGUGUGGUGGCUUUUGUAUCCAGGUGUUGGGGUACGCGGGCUCUCCUGGGGUUACUGUGUAGGGUACUCGCCUGUCCUCUGGCUGAGAGACCCCUCUUGAUCUGGCCAUUCAUGCCUGUCCCCCUCCCUCCUGUACCUUAGGCCAGCGUCUAGUUAGCCCCGGCUCAGCCAAUGAGACCUCAUCCAUCCUGGUGGAGUCAGUGACCAGGUCUUCUACAGAGACCUGCUAUAGCGCCAUUCCCAAGGCAUCCUCGGACGCCAGCAAGGUGACCUCUAAGGGUGCAGGGCUCUCCAAGGCCUUUGUGGGCCAGAAGAGUUCCUUCCUGGUGGACUGCAGCAAAGCCGGCUCCAACAUGCUGCUGAUCGGGGUCCAUGGGCCCACCACCCCCUGUGAGGAGGUCUCCAUGAAGCAUGUAGGCAACCAGCAAUACAACGUCACAUAUGUCGUCAAGGAGAGGGGCGAUUAUGUGCUGGCUGUGAAGUGGGGGGAGGAACACAUCCCUGGCAGCCCUUUUCAUGUCACAGUGCCUUAAAACAGUUUUCUCAAAUCCUGGGGAGAGUUCUUGUGGUUGCUUUUGUUGCUUGUUUGUAAUUCAUUUUAUACAAAGCCCUCCAGCCUGUUUGUGGGGCUGAAACCCCAUCCCUAAAAUAUUGCUGUUCUAAAAUGCCUUCAGAAAUAAGUCCUAGACUGGACUCUUGAGGGACAUAUUGGAGAAUCUUAAGAAAUGCAAGCUUGUUCAGUGGGCUGAGAGGAUCCUGAGUACACUAGGUGCAAACCAGAACUCUUGGUGGAACAGACCACCCACUGCAGCAGACAGACCAGGAACACAAUGAGACUGACAUUUCAAAAAAACAAAACUGGCUAGCCUGAGCUGCUGGUUCACUCUUCAGCAUUUAUGAAACAGGGCUAGGCGAAGAUGGGCAGAGAAAAAGGGGACACCUAGUUUGGUUGUCAUUUGGCAAAGGAGAUGACUUAAAAUCCGCUUAAUCUCUUCCAGUGCCCGUGUUAAUGUAUUUAGCUAUUAGAUCACUAGCACUGCUUUACCGCUCCUCAUUGCCAACACCCCCAUGCUCUAUGGCCUUCUUACACUUCUUAGAGGGCAGAGUGGAUGUGGUGGCAGCCGGGCCCACAUGUCUCCCAAGUACCUGUCCCCUCGCUCUGAUGAUUAUUUCUUGCAGAGUCACCACACGAGACCAUCCCGGCAGUCAUGGUUUUGCUUUAGUUUUCCAAGUCCGUUUCAGUCCCUUCCUUGGUCUGAAGAAAUUCUGCAGUGGCGAGCAGUUCCCCACUUGCCAAAGAUCCCUUUUAACCAACACUAGCCCUUGUUUUUAACACACGCUCCAGCCCUUCGUCAGCCUGGGUAGUCUUACCAAAAUGUUUAAAGUGACCUCAGAGGGGCCCAUGGAUUAGCGCCCUCAUCCCAAGGCCCGUCCCAUGACAUAACACUCCACACCCGCCCCAGCCAGCUUCGUGGGUCACUUUUUCUGGAAAAUAAUGAUCUGUACAGACAGGACAGAAUGAAAUUCCUGCGGCUCUUUGGCCUGAAAGUUGGGAAUGGUGGGGGGAGAGAAGGGCAGCAGCUUAUUGGUGGUCUUUUCACCACUUGGCAGAAACAGUGAGAGCUGCGUGGCGCAGAAAUCCAGAAAUGAGGUGUAGGGAAUUUUGCCUGCCUUCCUGCAGACCUGAGCUGGCUUUGGAAUGACGUUAAAGUGUCAGGGACGUUGUCUGAGCCCAAAUGUGUAGCGUGGUCUGGGCAGGUGGACCUUUAGGGUUUGCUGCUUAGUCCUGAGGAAGUGGCCACUGUUGUGGCAGGUAUAGUAUCUGGGGCGAGUGUUGGGGGUAAAAGCCCACCCUACAGAAACUGGAACAGCCCGGAGCCUGAUGUGAAAGGACCACGGGUGUUGUAAGCUGGGACAUGGAAGCCAAACUGGAAUCAAACGCCGACUGUAAAUUGUAUCUUAUAACUUAUUAAAUAAAACAUUUGCUCCAUAAA